rnacentral:rRNA from 1 species
UACGUAGGGGGCAAGCGUUGUCCGGAAUCAUUGGGCGUAAAGCGCGCGUAGGCGGCCCGGUAAGUCCGUUGUGAAAGUCAAAGGCUCAACCUUUGAAAGCCGAUGGAUACUGGAAGGCUUGAAUCCGGGAGAGGGAUGCGGAAUUCCAGGUGUAGCGGUGAAAUGCGUAGAUAUCUGGAGGAACACCGGUGGCGAAGGCGGCAUCCUGGACCGGCAUUGACGCUGAGGCGCGAAAGCCAGGGGAGCAAACGGG